rnacentral:lncRNA from 1 species
UCAUGUAAUGCACGAGGAGGCGUGGUGCUUAUUGUAGGAAAAAUAAGGAGAGCUCAAUGCAUUAAGUUUUCAGUUACUCUUUCGAGGUGCCAAAAACGUGGCACCUGAGCUCCUCUAUUAAUGCCGUUAGAUGAUUAUAAGAAGAACCUCCUUUCUCCACAGCCCUGUUAAUCAUUGCUUCGACGUCUUUUGCUCUACUUUUGAUCAUUUCACUUUCCCCGGAGGUGUUCAUCAACGUCUUCAAACUCACCUCUAUCUUCUCUUUAUUGACAAUCGUAUCCUUGAUGUCAAAAGUACUGUGCCACACCUCUGCCCCAAUCCUGACUCCACAUCCAAGAACCUCCACCAGCUUCUCAUUGUAGAACUGCUCCGCGAACAAUGGCCAUGUCAGCAUUGGCACCCCGGCUGUGAGAGAUUCCAGGGUGGAGUUCCAGCCACAGUGAGUCAUGAACACUCCGGUUGCUGGAUGGUUCAAGAUCUUCAGCUGUGGCACCCAUCCUCUGACUAUCAAAACUUUGCUGUUUGUAAGCAUCUUUUCCUUGAAGCUAGUAGGCAUCCAGCUUUCUUGGGGUUCAUCUCCCUUCCUUACCACCCAAAGAAACGAUGAAUUCGAGGCCUCAAGAGCCAAGGCGAUUUCAGUAAGCUGAGCAUCAGAGAACCUCCCCAUACUUCCGAAACAAAUGUACACAACAGAGUUUGGUUCUUGAGAAUCAAGCCAACUCAAGCAGCUGUGUCGUUCUUGAUGUUGAGUAUUUCUUGAAUUGUCUGCCUCUUCCCUCUUUGAAAAAUGAAACAAAGGACCAAUAAGCCACGGCUUUUUACCUUUGAUUUCUUGAUAAAGCUUAGCAUAACUCGGCUCUAGAUCAUAGAUAGUGUCGUGAAUCAUAGCGUAGCUCCGAGGUUCUGAUUCUUUAAUUCUCCUCAUCAGCUCCCAAUAUGGUCCUUCAGAUUUAGUUAUAAUAUUCUCUGGCAAUUGAGAUCUUUUCAUUUCUAUCUGAUCUGGUAAACCCGGAAUCAAGAAACUUUCUGAAUCCGAACUUACCUUCUCAUGAGGUGCAUACAAUUUCAAACAAUGUUCAACACAGUGGUACAUAACAUUAGUCGGAUAAAACAUAAGUCUAGGUAUCUUCAGUUGCUCUGCCACAUCCACAGUCCAUGGGAAAAACAUGUCUGAAACAAUGCAAUGAGGACGAAGCUCGAAAAUAAGACUUUCCAUUGGUUUUUGAAGCAGAGGAAUUCCCAUAAACACACUUAUAGCCAUUUCUUGGCUAGUGGCAGCACUGAAGUUUUCGAUCCCUUCUGGUAUGCCUACUUCAGCUGAUGGGAAUUUGAGUUUGUAGACGAAUAUUUUGUGGCCUAAUUCAGUAGCAUGAUCGAUUGAGGACUCGAAAAGGAGGGCGUUGUAGGUGGUGGUGAUGAUACUAACUUUGACACCAUGACUAGCAAAAAGUCUAGCAAUAUCAACUAAAGGGAUCAUAUGACUUGGUGUGAAAUAUGGAAUGAAAACUACAUGGAGUAGUUCACCAUUUUUUUGUGCCAUGACCUUACUUGAAGAAGGGAUGGAAAUUCACUUAACAACUUAAAAUGUUACUAACUUAAUAUUAGAUUCAGACAUAUUACAGAUAGCCUAAAAAAGUCAUGAAAAAGCCAUUAAAAUACUAAGUAUGUUUCUUCAAGGAAUCUUAUCUUGGAUUAUUAUUAUAUUCAAUCAGUACACUGAGUGGUACUCCCUAUGUUAUCUUUCUGCAGAGCAGUUGAAAGCAAGUAAGGGUGUGCAUUGAUCGGUUCGGUUCGGUUUAGUUUUAAUGUAUUAUUGGUUUGGUUUAUUGAUUUUGGUUUUUAAAUAUGUUAAACCAAUAAGAUAUUUUUUAUUGAUUUCAAUUUAUCGAUUUUGGUCCUUAACGGUUCGGUUUUUAGUUUAAUCAAUAAGAAAAUGCUUAUAAAACAAAUAUUAUGACUUCUCCAACGUCAAUUUGACGUGACAAGACAAUAAUGUAACUUUAUAGAACGCUCAUAAGAUAGAAACAAUAAUAACUAACAUGAAAAGAACUAUACAAGUGCAACACAAAGAGAAAUUAAGAGGAAUAGAGUUCUUACUUUAGGUUUUGACAUUUUGUAUAAUGUGAAAUUGUGAACUCAAAGUUAGUCUGAAGUGUGAAUUGAAGGCUAAAGGACAAAGAUAGUAACCAAUACUGAGAUAAAUAGUUAAUAGUGUUGCUUGUCAUGAGCAUUAUUUCAGUUUUUACUUGUGAUUCAUAAGACAAAAGCAAUAAAAUCACUCAACUUAGCACAUUCCCUUAUAAAAUUGUUCAACUACGUAGAUUAUAAAAAGCCUGACAUGACAAAAUAUAUUAUUUUUCAUGUCAGGGAAACAUGGACUCCAUUAGAGCUAGGCCUGAAUGCUAAAAUUAGAAAUAUCGGAUCGAACCGAAUUAAUUCGAUUCUUUGGUUCUUCGGUUGGGAAUGAUUUUUUUUUUCAAAAGCUCGGUUAAUCGGUUUAAGAGUUCCAGUUCUUCAAUGUGUCAAUUUUAUUCCCAGCUCUAUAGUUAUACAGGUUCACAUAGCUUCAUUUUCUUAUUUGGUAGAUCCCUUAUUUGAAAGUUGAAACACUCUUUAAGAGUUUUUUGUCUAUAAAAAGAUUGCUUGAAACAACAACAUACUCAGUGUAGUUCCACAAGUGAUGUCCGGGGAAAAGAUUGCUUGAAACAUAACAUGUUAUUUCGUUUUACCUUUUCUUGUGUUAUGUAAUGCACGCGAGGCAUGAUGCUAUUUUAGGAAAAAUAAGUAGAGCUCAGAAUGUUAAAUUUCUUACUACUCUUCUGAUAUGCCAAAAGCAUGACACUUGAUCUCCUGUAUUAAUGUUGUUAGAUGAUUAUAAGAAGAACCUCCUUUCUCCACAGCCCUGUUAAUCAUUGCUUCGACGUCUUUUGCUCUACUUUUGAUCAUUUCACUUUCCCCGGAGGUGUUCAUCAACGUCUUCAAACUCGCCUCUAUCUUCUCUUUAUUGACAAUCGUAUCCUUGAUGUCAAAAGUACUGUGCCACACCUCUGCCCCGACCCUGACUCCACAUCCAAGAACCUCCACCAGCUUCUCAUUGUAGAACUGCUCCGCGAACAAUGGCCAUGUCAGCAUUGGC